ACUGAAGCAAGACAGACUGCAGUCUGGGGGAAACACUGCUCAAACCAUGGUCCCUGUGUGUGUGUGUGUGUGUGUGUGUGUGUGUGUGUGUGUGUGUGUAUAUAUAUGUGUGUGUGUGUGUGUCU